rnacentral:sRNA from 7 species
CUGAUGGUACUGUGAACUCAGAGUCUCAUGGAAAUGCACAACACAUACAGAAUAUCAACUGGCAGUACAAGCUCACCCCGUCCUGCCCUUUCAGCAGCUCAAGCAAGCACAGGAUUAGCUAGCUAUCCUCCUGAUGUGACAGGGUAAUUCAGUCUCAUCUCCUUCUCACUUCUUGACUGCU